GGGGAUGACAGGCUUCGACGGGGAAGGCUGGCCCUGGAUUGCAAGCCGAGCACGCUUUAUAUCUCGUAAAACUAGAAGCAACGCAUAAGUGCCAACCGCACAAAUGCCUACAGCGCUCUCCCGAUGGCUGCGUAAAGUAGCCUAAGGAAAGCCAGAUGUUCCCCUAAACAAGGAACCCGUUCGCCGCGGCCUUUUCGUCGGUCGGGUUGGGGCGGACGACAUAUAGACCGACGUGCUCCGCGCUGACGCCGAUAUGCGCGGCUAGAGACGCCCUUUCGGGGGUAUUCGGAUAGCGACGGCUGACCCAGUUGAUCGGGGCGCCCGGCCGCGAAAGCUAAAUAGAUCGACUAAGCUUGUAGACGUCUAGAGGUCGAAUUUUUCGGACGCGGGUUCGAUUCCCGCCAUCUCCACCA
rnacentral:tmRNA from 1 species